UACGUCCUGUCAUUUUAACGUUGAAACAGUUCGCACUCCUAUCUUCGAAUCGAUUGACUUCAGAUUCUAAUCUGCUAAUUAUAACUACGUUGGAAAAGUUCACCCUAUCAGCCCUGUCUUCGAAUCGAUUGUGAUUUUUUCUUCAUAUUCUAAUACUCUGCUGAAAAAUGGGAAGGAAUCUCUUGGAAUAUAAAACGAGAAUCGGCACGAAAGGAUCGUUCGUCGUUGGAUUUCUUUACUACGAAUGCGACGAAUACGAGAUGGUUGGCUCAAAAUGAGUGCUGUUGCGAUUUAUUAAAUUGCUGAUAGAUGCUGUUACAAACCAAACAAUGGGAAGAGAAGAGGUGAAAAGCAGGCUUGACAAUUUUGUGAAGAGAAAGAAGAGGAGGAGAAGGAAGAAGAAGAAGCUCAAGAAAAACAAUGGAUGAAUUUUACGAAUCAUGCAGCACAUAGCUGAUAACUCCACUGCUGUGCAUCAAUCGGUCUUUCUUCUUCUUUUAUUGGUACGCGCAGUCACGGGCCACGAUCAAGCCAUUAGCCAGUUAGUGAAGAUGCAGUAAAAUAUAAUGGAGACUUCGCACGGCUCUGUACUACUGAGAGGUUGGGGCAU